GAGAGAUUAGUUAAAGAUAUAAUAUAGGUUUGUCAAGCCUAAGUUACUAAGUUAUUAGUAUCUCUUA
rnacentral:tRNA from 1 species